rnacentral:rRNA from 1 species
CGGGUGAGUAAUGCAUAGGAAUCUACCUAGUAGUAUGGGAUAGCCACUAGAAAUGGUGGGUAAUACUGUAUAAUCCCUGCGGGGGAAAGAUUUAUCGCUAUUAGAUGAGCCUAUGUUAGAUUAGCUAGUUGGUAGGGUAAAGGCCUACCAAGGCGAUGAUCUAUAGCUGGUCUGAGAGGAUGAUCAGCCACACUGGAACUGAGAUACGGUCCAGACUCCUACGGGAGGCAGCAGUGGGGAAUAUUGGACAAUGGGCGCAAGCCUGAUCCAGCUAUGCCGCGUGAGUGAGGAAGGCCUUAG